GCAGUAGCCACGGGAAUACGUAGGGUGCAAGCGUUAAUCGGAAUUACUGGGCGUAAAGCGUGCGCAGGCGGUUAUAUAAGACAGAUGUGAAAUCCCCGGGCUCAACCUGGGAACUGCAUUUGUGACUGUAUAGCUAGAGUACGGCAGAGGGGGAUGGAAUUCCGCGUGUAGCAGUGAAAUGCGUAGAUAUGCGGAGGAACACCGAUGGCGAAGGCAAUCCCCUGGGCCUGUACUGACGCUCAUGCACGAAAGCGUGGGGAGCAAACAGGAUUAGAUACCCGCGUAGUCCCUGUCUCUUAUAC
rnacentral:rRNA from 1 species